rnacentral:rRNA from 1 species
AUUGAACGCUGGCGGCAUGCUUUACACAUGCAAGUCGAACGGCAGCGCGGGCUUCGGCCUGGCGGCGAGUGGCGAACGGGUGAGUAAUACAUCGGAACGUGCCCAGUAGUGGGGGAUAGCUCGGCGAAAGCCGGAUUAAUACCGCAUACGACCUGAGGGUGGAAGCGGGGGAUCUUCGGACCUCGCGCUAUUGGAGCGGCCGAUGGCAGAUUAGCUAGUUGGUGGGGUAAAGGCCUACCAAGGCGACGAUCUGUAGCUGGUCUGAGAGGACGACCAGCCACACUGGAACUGAGACACGGCCCAGACUCCUACGGGAGGCAGCAGUGGGGAAUUUUGGACAAUGGGCGAAAGCCUGAUCCAGCAAUGCCGCGUGUGUGAUGAAGGCCUUCGGGCUGUAAAGCACUUUUGGCGGGAACGAAAAGGACUGUGCCAAUACCACGGUUCGAUGACGGUACCCGCAGAAUAAGCACCGGCUAACUACGUG